rnacentral:rRNA from 1 species
UACGGAGGGGGCGAGCGUUAUUCGGAAUUAUUGGGCGUAAAGGGCGCGUAGGCGGCUGGGCAAGUCAAAGGUGAAAUCCCUCGGCUCAACUGAGGAACUGCCUUUGAAACUGCUCGGCUUGAGGCCGGGAGGGGGUAGCGGAAUUCCCAGUGUAGCGGUGAAAUGCGUAGAUACUGGGAGGAACACCAGUGGCGAAGGCGGCUACCUGGACCGGUUCUGACGCUGAGGCGCGAAAGCGUGGGUAGCAAACAGG